rnacentral:rRNA from 1 species
ACGGAAGGCAGCAGUGGGGAAUAUUGGGCAAUGGGCGCAAGCCUGACCCAGCAAUGCCGCGUGAAGGAAGAAGGCUUUCGGGUUGUAAACUUCUUUUAAGAGGGACGAUAGUGACGGUACCUCUUGAAUAAGCUCCGGCUAACUACGUGCCAGCAGCCGCGGUAAUACGUAGGGAGCAAGCGUUAUCCGGAUUUACCGGGUGUAAAGGGCGUGUAGGCGGGACUGCAAGUCAGAUGUGAAAGCACGAGGCUCAACUUCGUAGCUGCAUUUGAAACUGUAGUGCUUGAGUGCUGGAGAGGCUAACGGAAUGCCUAGUGUAGCGGUGAAAUGCGUAGAUAUUAGGAGGAACACCAGUGGCGAAGGCGGUUAGCUGGACAGUAACUGACGCUGAGGCGCGAAAGCGUGGGUAGCAAACAGGAUUAGAUACCCUGGUA